GUUGAACGCUGGCGGCAGGCUUAACACAUGCAAGUCGAGCGGAGUGAUGGUGCUUGCACUAUCACUUAGCGGCGGACGGGUGAGUAAUGCUUAGGAAUCUGCCUAUUAGUGGGGGACACCAUACCGAAAGGGAUGCUAAUACCGCAUACGUCCUACGAGAGAACGCAGGGGACCACUUGUGACCUUGCGCUAAUAGAUGCGCCUAAGUCGGAUUAGCUAGUUGGUGGGGUAAAGGCCUACCACGGCGACGAUCUGUAGCGGGUCUGAGAGGAUGAUCCGCCACACUGGGACUGAGACACGGCCCAGACUCCUGCGGGAGGCAGCAGUGGGGAAUAUUGGACAAUGGGGGGAACCCUGAUCCAGCCAUGCCGCGUGUGUGAAGAAGGCCUUAUGGUUGUAAAGCACUUUAAGCAGGGAGGAGAGGCUAAUGGUUAAUACCCAUUAGAUUAGACGUUACCUGCAGAAUAAGCACCGGCUAACUCUGUGCCAGCCGCCGCCGUAA
rnacentral:rRNA from 1 species